AUUAAUCCUACCUUGUUUAAUUUCACUGCUCAAGGAAUUAAUUUGUCAUUUAUUGGUUACUAGGUUUUUAAAGAGAAGGGAAAACACUUUGAAAAAAUGGAAGUUUCAUCUCUGGCCAGCAUUACAGCGUCUGGCAUAAUUUUAGAUGCCAACAAGUAAUGACAAAGAAGCAGCUGUUAAAAUGAUCCUGCUUAAUAGCCAUAAAGAAAUGAAGACUUCCACAGAGAGCUUUCAGGUUCCCAUCUCAAUGGAGCAUGGACAGUUGUAGGAAGUAGAAGCCAAUUUGAUUCCAACACAGCACUUUAUUACAGCUAAGAAGGACAUAUUAUCCAAAGCCGUCUUCCGAUGUGCCAGAAGCAACAAUCAGGAAGAUUUCUACGGGGCAAAUAAACAAUGUGAAACUAAAUCAAGAAAGUUUUGGAAACACAUCUUGAAUUAGCCCAAGUGUAUCCGUGCAUUUGUGUAUUUGUUGUUUAUGCACAACAAAGUCCUAUAAAAUCAAAUUGGUUUACUUCACCUUGAUUUACGUUAGUAAAAAAUUUAAAUAUCAGCAAAUUCAUAUUUAUGUUUGCCUUCACAAAGGAGUUAUAAACUUAACGUUUUGUAUAUUUAAUUUAUUAAUUAGGGACUGGUAGAUCAUCAAAGAGAUAAUUUUACGAUCAAGAGUCAUAGAGUAACACAUGUACAAUUUAAUUUUUGGCAAGGCUCAGAAAAAACAAUUUGAUAUGUUAAUGGAUCCUAAUGGGCAAUAGCUAUUAAUUAAAUAAAUAGCCCAUUAGACUGAGAAGUGAAGUGUCAGCACAAGGACAAUCUACUAAGAUUGCUGAAGAAUAGCAAUUAACUUACAGUAUUUAGUGGUGGCACAGAUAUUUAUAUUUGGUUUUGUAGAUAUUUGUGUCAGCUAUAUCAAAUUAAUUAAACCAGCAACUAUUUAAUAAAUCUCUACAAUGUGUGCAAUGCUAUGCUAGGCAUUUGGAACAAAGCAAAAAGUAGACAACAUGAUCUAGAUUCUUGGGGAAAAUAUAGUACAGUAGGGAGAGGCAAGAUGUAAGUAAAUUUAAAAUACAAUGGUUGUACAUGUUGACAUACUAAAAAUGUUUUAACGUAUUACACCAUUUUAACGUAUCUUUACCAUUUUUAUCCCUGUCCAUCAUGACUUACUAAAAAUUGUUGAGGAAAAAUAAUGCUGGAGGAGGGUCUGGGGAUAACCAAGAAGGUAUAAGUCCUGGCCUCUCCACAGGAAGCCAGUGAUUUAAUUUGGAAGAUUGAUUGCUAAAUGAAAUCUUCGCCAACACAGGAAGUCCCAUGAAUAGGAAAGGGAGAGAGAGCUGAGGACCAGGAUAUCCUGGCCAGCGUGUGGAGGAGAACUGGAUCUUGAGGUACAGGUAAAAUGUGACUAAACAGAGAGGGGAGGUGGUGGCUCACGUGGGGACGAUGGCCAGAGCCAGCUUCAUUGUGGGGCAUUAGGGGUGAGGCUGGAGAAGAGAUUUAUGUAAUGAAGCCACGUUGUGUGCAUGCUGGUGAUUGAGGAAUUUGGACUAAGCUCUCCUGAGGAGAGUGACAGAAUCAAAGUGGUUGUAGGAAGAUACUGAUCAGAUUGAAGGGUGCUGGGAGACCUGUGGUAGGGAGUAGGAGCUAAAAGGCAACAAGAUUGGCUGGAGGCCUUUGUGAGGGGUAAGAGAUGAACAUGAUUUCCUAAACCAGAUCACAGCCUUAUUAAGGGAAAGGGAAAUGCCCUUCUUUUCCUUUGUUUGCUUGUUUUUCCUGUAUAUUCAGUCCAGGAUGUAUACUUCAGUAGAAUAACCCCUUGUAGAGCCACUGACUUAUGAGACUAUCUAAAGACAGGUGCUGACCUUUGCCACUGAUAACUGUAUUUGGCCUCCUGGAAUAAGAGCGCCUCAUGAAUAAAACAAGUUAGAGAAACCUAAGGAGAUUCAAGCAGAGGUCACUCUAUAGUGAGGUGAUAAAUUUUGUGACUGAUAUCGAGGCCUAGCCUAGUUGCGAGCAAUCAUUACUGAACUACCUGGUGAUAACGACAGGAGGCGAAGAAAAUGUGCAUUCUAAGUACAGUGCAAAUGCAGAUCGCCAGCUUCCUGGAGAUCUGAUCAAAUAAAACUUAAGUUUUAAUUAAACUGUGGCCAAAUUAAUUAAAAGUUACUAUAUUGUGUGAUAGAUAAUUAUCAACUAGAAUGUUAGUUAUUUUGCUGCAGCAUCCUGAUUUCUUUAUCUUCCUAUUCGGAAAAUGUAAAAAUCCUUUUAGCCUUUUAGUUGAAUCACAAGCAAAAAAAAAAAAAAAAUUUUAAGCUAGCAGGAUGUAUUAAACAUUAAUUUAAGGACAAUCAUGCAAACCUAAAUUUUUCUUUUUUUUCUAGCUACAUUUUAUGUUCUUGAGAUAAUCUUUACAGUGGCAUAUCUAUUUUUUUAAAUAAGCUUUUAAUAAAUUUGGUAAUAAUAGCAACUAAUAAUGUUAACAAUAAUAAUGAUAACUGUCAUUUCUCUCUCCUUAGGAUCAUUUUGUGCCGAGCAUUCAUAACUGAGUCAUAGCUGUCUAUAUUAAAGGAUUGUUCCUAGAUUUUAUUUAUCUUGUUUAGCCUUUUAAUUCAAUUGGUUUCUUGGCUGAUUUGUCUCCCAGUGUGAUCAAUCAAUGGGAACUAGGGACCCAAUUCACAUUUUCACUUAAGUCGAUUGAAAUGUUGAGUGUGGUUGUGAUUGUUUAGGAGAUAAAAUGGGAUCACUGACUUAAAGAUCAUUUCUUCCUGGUUUUGUGCCUUAACUUUAUUUUCCCCAGCAGACGUUCAGAUAACUGAUUCUCUGUUAUGGAAGCCUACAGGGAGUGGAAAGGUAGGUAGAGAUUUCUCUUCAGUGACAAUUUCCAUUAAUUUUGUUAUUUCUCAUCAACAAUUGAUGUACCCAGAGGCGAUCAAAGUAUAUGUAAAUGACCGGCAAUUGGUUUCACUUCAAAUCUAAUACUUUGCAAAAAGCACUUUGUGGCCAGUAUCUAAGAGAAGUUUAAUAGAAGUCAAAGGCUGGAAGAAAAUGUGGGGGCUAUGUCAUUUCCUCCCAAGCUCCUCUCCUCAUCUAGCAUUAGACAGGCACUACCACUUCUCUUCUCAAGGUGCCCAGACAGGACGAUUCUGCAAUAGCCUUUAGGAAAUUCAUUUCAACGUUAAUAUCCCUCAUGGCCAAGAGAGAAGUAAUUUGGCUCAUAUAUAAUCUGGUUCCUCCUCGUCUGCAUUGAAAGCCCUUAAUGACCUCAUGUCUUCCCUCAGCAGGACUGAGGGUAUUCUGUCAAAACGUCAUGAUGGAUUAUGUGCUUGGUGACCUGUGACUUUUUGCAAGGCAAGUAGAGUAGAAUGAAAAGAUGGCGAAGAGGGAGGGGAAUACCCAUAUUUGCCAGCCUGCCAUCCGGCAGCAGAAGGAAGGUUUCCAGAGGAAAAGCUGAAUGAGAUCCUUCUGCUGCUUCCCCUCCUCUCCUGCCAUUACCU
rnacentral:lncRNA from 1 species